GCAGUGUUCAAGCUGGGAGGUACUAGAGAACAUGAGAAUUAAGUAACAAGCGACUGGUGGGAAUGAGUGAGAAACUCCAGGGAAACACAGCCCCACGAAAUCUGCAGAGGAUGACACUUCUUUGAGACAAGAAGACAAAUCUGCAAUGUAACCUGAGACUGCAAGACCCUGAGAAUGCCAAAGCAGGAAGAGUGAUCGAGACUGACAAGAGCAUGACCACGGUGAUCUCUCAGGAAGCAAAAUCAUUCCGUACAUGCAUAAGAAAUUCUGUCCAGAAACUGAACACUUCAGUGCUGGUGAACUUACGAUGAAGUCAACUAAAUGAAGAGCUAAACUUAUAAUCUUAGUUGUCAUUUGGCUCUUGUUUUAUCAAAAUGUAAUUCUAAUAAAAUCAAAAUAAGGGUAUUCUUUUACUUCCUGAGUCCAAGAAAGGCAGGACUCGCUGCAAAUGUCUGUGAAUGUUGUAUUAGACCAUAUACUUUCUUUAAUAAAGCAAACAGUUUAGAGUAAAUGACUCACAUACUAUUCUGGGAGCAGUGCUCUAGGAAGGCUGUGAAGGGACUGCUUUCUGCUCAUGCACGGGGAAAAGGGAGUCUUAUUCACUGUAGCCCUCGUGUCUUGUACGUGGCAUGAUACCUAGCACUUAAAAGGAGUCCAAUUCAUGGCUGUUAACUGAGAGAGUAAUAACAGCUCACACUGAGCUUGCUAUAUUCCAGUACUGCACAAACAGCAACUCAUCGGAUUCUCACAGUAGCCCUAAGUGGUAAAUACUGCUAUUAUUCCCAUUUUUAUAGCUGAGGAAACUGAAGAACAGAGAGUUUACACAACUUGGUGUAGGUGGAGCCAGACUGCAAAUGAAGGUAGACUGACUACCGGUACACUGCAUUACGAAGGCCCUCUCGAUGCCAGAGUGAGAUUAGGAGGGGGAAGACUGGACCAGCAAGGACCAGGCUCUUAGUUUGCAGGAGCAGGGGGAGUCCAAAAUAAAAGGAUGGGCAAGAUGAAAUUCUUUUUAACUCUGUCUCAGAUAUAGCAAUGUCUGUGAAAAGAUAAAUUUGAUGUUUAAGUCAUCUUUAUACAAUUAAACAAAUACGUAACUAUUAAA